rnacentral:tRNA from 1 species
CGCUGUCUUCAAACCUGAAGACUGGGACGGUGUGUCGCCACUUUGGUUCGAUGUUUACUUCCCUC